GAUGAACGCUGGCGGCGUGCCUAACACAUGCAAGUCGAGCGAACAGACGAGGAGCUUGCUCCUUUGACGUUAGCGGCGGACGGGUGAGUAACACGUGGAUAACCUACCUAUAAGACUGGGAUAACUUCGGGAAACCGGAGCUAAUACCGGAUAAUAUACUGAACCGCAUGGUUCAAUAGUGAAAGUCGGUUUUUCUGUCACUUAUAGAUGGAUACGGGCCGCUUUAGCUAGUUGUUAGGGUAACGGCUUACCAAGGCGACGAUGCGUAGCCGACCUGAGAGGGUGAUCGGCCGCCUUGGAACUGGAACACGGACCAGACGCCUACGGGAGGCAGCAGUAGGGAAUCUUCCGCAGUGGGGGAAAGCCUGACGGAGCAGCGCCGCGUGAGUGGUGAAGGUCUUCGGAUCGUGAAACUCUGUUAUGAGGGAAGAACAAAUGUGUAAGUAACUAUGGACGUCUUGACGGUACCUAGUCAGAAAGCCACGGCUAACUACGUG
rnacentral:rRNA from 1 species